rnacentral:lncRNA from 1 species
AACCAAAGCAAAAAUAGAGAAGCGAGAUUACAUCAAGCUACGAAGCUUCUGCACAGCAAAGGAAAUGACGAACAAAGUGAAGAGACAACCCACAGAAUGGGAGAAAAUAUUUGCAAACUAUCCAUCUGACAAGAAAUUAAUAACCAGAAUAUAUAAGGAGCUGAAAGAACUGUAAGGGAAAAAAAAUCCAAUUUAAAAAUGGGCAAAAGAUCUGAAUAGACAUUUCUCAAAAGAAGACAUACAAAUGGCAAACAGGCAUAUGAAAAGGUGCUCAACAUCAUUGAUCAUCAGAGAAUGCAAAUCAAAACUACAAUGAGAUAUCAUCUUACCCCUGUUAAAAAGGCUCGUAUCAAAAAGACAGGCAAUAACAGAUGCUGGCGAGGAUGUGGAGGAAAGGGAACUCUCACACACUGUUGGUGGGAAUGUAAAUUAGUACAGCCACUGUGGAGAACAGUUUGGAAGUUCCUCAAAAAACUAAAAAUAGAGCUAUGGCCGGGUGUGGUGGCUCACACCUGUAAUCCCAGGACCAUGGGAGGCAGAGGCAGGUGGAUCGCCUAAGGUCAGGAGUUUGAGACCAGCCUGGCCAACAUGGUGAAACCCCGUCUCUACUAAAAAUACAAAAAAAUUAGCUGGGCACGGUGGUGGGCGCCUGUAGUCCCAGCUACUCAGGAGGGUGAGGCAGGAGAAUCACUUGAACCUGGGAGGUGGAGGUUGCAGUGAGCCGAGAUUGCGCCAUUGCACUCCAGCCUGGGAGACAGAGGGAGACCCCGUCCCCCCGCCCCCCCAAAAAAAAGAAAGAAAGAAAAAAAUAGAGCUACCAUAUGAUCCAGCAAUUCUACUACUUGAUAUAUAUCCAAAAGAAAAGAAAUCAGUAUGUCAAAGAGUUAUCUGCACUCCCAUGUUUAUUACAGCACUGUUCACAAUAGGCAAAAUAUGGAAUCGAUCUAAGUGCCCAUCAACAGAGGUAUGGACAAAGACAAUAUGAUACACAUAUCUACAUAGACAAUGUACAUACACCUACAAACACAAUAAAAUACUAUUCAGCCAUAAAAAAGAAUAAAAUCCUGCCAUUUGCAGCAACACGUAUGGAACUCGAGGCCAUUAUGUUAAGUGAAAUAAGUGAAGCACAAAAUGACAAAUAUUGCAUGUUCUCACUCAUAUGAGGCAGCUAGAAAAGUGGAUCCCGUGAAGACAGAGAAUAGUUUGGUGGUUACCAGAGUCCAGGAAGGGUGGGGGGAGAGGGAGAUGAGGGGAAAAACCAAAGAAUAUACAUGUAUUUAUGACCACUGAACUGCACAUUUUAAAAUGGUAACGAUGGUAAAUUUUAUAUGUAUAUUUUACCUCAAGGAAAAAACUUGUACACAAAUAUUCACAGCAGCAUCACUCAUAAUGACACAAAAAUAGAAACAAUCCAACUGUCCAUCAACUGAUGAGCAGGUAGAUAAAAUGUGAUAUAUCAGUACAACGGAAUAUUUUUCAGCAAUGAAUAGACAUGAAGUACUAUGUAUGUUACAGCAUGCUUGAACCUAGGACACAUUAAGUGAAAGAAGCCAGACACAAAGGCCGUGUAUUGUGUGAUUCCAUUUACAUGAAAUGUCCAGAAUAAGCAAAUAUACAGAGACAAAAGGUAGAUUUAGUAGUUGCUUAGGGGUAAGGGGUUAGCGAGAAAUGAGGAGUGAAUGCUGAUGCAUAUGAGGUUUCUUUCCGGAGUGACAGAAAUGUUCUAAAAUCUAUUGUGGUAACUGUUCUGAUGGAAUGCUAAGACUUCUUCCUGUUCUGUGCCUCAGAUAUACCACUAAUUUCCUAGGCUUCGGCUCUGUUAUCUAUGGACUGGAUGUAAUGACACUCAGCUUGGGUAUUUGUUGAUGGAUGGAGAUUAUGAGAAAGAUGAGAAGAUGAACUACUCAAGGCUUUUGACCGCGUUAAGCAUCCACUGGGACCAGCGUCGUAAUACAACAUGCAAUGAAGACCAAGUUUGCAAUGUCUGUAGUACUUACAGAUUUAUAAAGUGCCACCCUGAGAAUGAUAACGCAUGCAGUUAUUGUGCAUUUGUGUGCGGCUAUUAAAAACCAUCCCUGGUAGAGAAAACUUUCAUUUUAGACACUGUGAAAACACAUUAAGAGAGGGAGGUAGAAAGGCCAAAAUGGCAAGUUGGAGAGAGAGGUUGUUUUUGGAUAAGAAAACUGGCCUCUUACCUCCCAGCUGCUGAGAUUCUGGAAGAAAAAAUAUAGGGCGGCAGCCCACAUCACAGCGGUGGCCACGAUGCAGAAGAGCGGGACUGGGAGGACCUUUUCAGAGCUGCGGAGCUGUGGGAGGAGAAGCAGAUGCGGCCUCACGCGACCCCGCCUUCGCCUGCCCGAGGGCCCGAGGUAGCCGCUCCCGGCACCCGCUCUUACCUUCAUGAUGAUGUAAAAGGCCAGGUACAGCAAAAGGUUACAGAUGAAGAUGCCCAGCAUGUAGGAAGCAAAGUCCCUGGGGCGGUAUAUCAAUCCAAAGAGGGCGCUGCAGGCGUGGGAGAAAUGUGGGCAGCCGUGAAGGUGGAUUUGUAACACUAUUGGCUUUUCCAAUCCCCCAGUCCCUUGAGGGGGAAGGGGCAGGUUCUUUUUUUUUUUUUAACUUUUAUUUUUAGUUCAUUUUAUUUUUUUUUAAACUCUUACCUCUGAUGGAACAGUAGAUUUUUAAAAAAAUACUUUAACAUAUAAGUAUCUUUUUUUUUUUUUUUUUUUUUUUUUUUUUAAGAGUUGGGGUCUCAUUCCCUCACUCAGGCUAGAGUGCAAUGGCACCAUCACGGCUCACUGCAACCUCCACAUCCUGGACUCAAGCGAUCCUUCCACUUCAACCUCUCUGGUAUCCGGGACUACAGAUGCAUGCCACCACUUCCAGCUAACUUUUAAAAUUUUUUUUGUAGAGGCAGGGUCUUGCUAUGUUGCCCAGCCUGAUGUUGGAUUCAUGGCCUCAAGCCAUCCUUUUGCCUGAGCCUCCCAAAGCCCUGGGAUUACAGCCGUGAGCCAUGGUGCCUUGCCUAUAUAAGUAACUUUUAAUUUAAUACACUUUCUUCCAAGCAUUCAUUUCUAACAACCAUGUAAAGUUCCCAUAACUGAAUGCAAUGUAAACAAUCAUCUUUCCCCUUUUGUUGAAGUGUCUUCCCACAUUCUUCGGUUUUUCACUAUUAUAAGAAACACUGCAAUGAAUAAAUAAAUACUUUCAGACAUUGAGCUUAUGUUUUUCAUUUAAGAUUAGUUCCUUAGAAUAGAAGCAAAAUCAUCUCCAUGAUUGGCUUGACACACAUUACCAAAUUUUUGCUAGCUGUCCAUGGUUUUAAAAUUAAUGCUAAAGUUAAUUUUGGUUGGACUCAGCUUUAAUUUUGUUCCAAAUUUCUAUUCAGUUAUAAUAUGUCCUUUAUUACAUAAUUCUUUCUUAUCUCUUUGUUUUGAAAUAGUUUUUUUUUUUUUUUUUUUUUUUUUUGAGAUGGAGUCUCACUGUGUUGCCCAGGCUGGAGUGCAGUGGCACCAUCUCGGCUCACUGCAACCUCCACCCCUCCAAGUUUAAGCAAUUCUCUGCCACAGCCUCUGGAGUAGCUGGGAUUACAGACGCAUGCCACCACGCCCAGCUAAUUUUUUGUAUUUUUAGUAGAGACGGGGUUUCACCAUCUUGGCCAGGCUGGUCUUGAACUCCUGAUCUCGUGAUCCACCUGCCUCGGCCUCCCAAAGUGCUGGGAUUACAGGCGUGAGCCACCGCGCCCGGCCUGAAAUAGUUUUUGAUGAAUACACAUCCACAUAUAUAUUUUUUAAAAUCUCAAUAUCUCUAUCUAGUUGGGUUUCUGUCCUCCAUUCGGAUUCACUGAUUCAUAUUUCUAAUUUCUAAUUUUAGAUCGGUGCCUCACUAUUUUAUUAUUAUUUUAUAAUAUGCUAGAUUAUCUGAUUAGGCUAGCCUGCACUGUUCCAUUUGGUAGCCACAUAUGGCUAUUAAAAUUAAAUAAAAUUGAAAAUCUACUUCCUCAGUCACACUAGCCACAUUUCAAGUCUGCAAUAUCUAUGUGCUAAUAGUUACUGUAUUGGACCGUACGUGUGAAACAAUUACAUCACUCCAGAGAGUUCUAAUGGACAAUGCUGGGCUAGUCACCUCUGCUCCUCCUUGCUUCUGUUAAUCUCUUUUUCAAAGAUCUUUGAAAUUUUUGCCUAACUAGCAAAUAAAUUUUAGAAUAAAACCUUAUUAACUUAAUUACUAUUCUAACUCUAAAUGUUUACAUUACCUUGAGAAAGGAUACCUUUGCAGUAGUUAAUCUUUCCAUCCAGGACCUGACGUCUCUCUUCAUUUAGCUAAAUUUUCCUUAUGGCUUCUAAUAAGAUAAUUACAUUUUCUACAGAAAGAUUGUGUACAUCUCUCAAAAUUUAUUCCUAAGUAUUUAAAGUGUAAAGUACUAUUAAUGGACUCUCUUUGUUCAUUUUGAAUUCCAACUGACUUCGUUCUUUUUUUUUUUCUUUUUUUUUGAGAGAGGGUCUCACCAUGUUGCCCAGACUGGUCUCAAACUCCUGGGCUCAAGCAAUCCUCCUGCCUCGGCCUCCCAAAGUGUUGUGAUUCUAAGUGUGAGCCACUGCACCUGGCCUCCCUCAAGUGACUUUGUUCUGUAUAAUGCAGAAAAUUUUCUUCUCCCAGAUUUUGAAAUCUUUAGUAUACCAGGCAACUCUUGUACAUCCUUCCUUCAGAUUCUCUAGUUAUUAGCGUUUUGUUACAUUUGCUUUGUCAUUUUCUCUCUGUCUCUCUCUCUAUAUGCAUAUGUAUGUACAUACAUCUCUAUGCCUAUAUAUAACUCAGGACCAUACGAAAGUAAUUCUUUUUAAAAUAUCAUUCAUGGGAAAUCAUUCCAUGUCUUUAUGAAGCAACUGGGAAGGAGGUAGCCCACUAUCAGAUAAUCACGGUGUAAGUCUGUCAUUGCACCUCCAUCCCUAGAGGCCCUUUUGUUCCACAGAGCUGUCUGUGAAGAGAGGCCAUUUGCCUUGUCUUGUGAGCAGAUCGUGGAUGUGGUUUUGCUUAUGUGAGAGACGGAGACAAGCCAAGUGAUUCUGAGCCCCUGGAAUCAUAGUCAAAGGUUGGUCAUUAUCAAGAGGUUGGUCCCUUUUCUCCUCCCAUUGCCCUCUCUUUCAGGACCACCAGGACUGUGGAGUCUGCUAGAAGGGUGGUCAAGAAGAGACCACUGCCCAAGAAUCCUCUCAUCUUGACCUGCCCCCAAGUAAAGGAGGAAUCGUUAAAUGGCCACUGACCCUGAGGAGCUCAUCAUCUAGGAGCUACAAAUAAAAGCAGUUAAACUUACUUAUGGUUUGAGUGAUCAAUAAAAUAUUUUACUCAUUCAACUGUAUAAGAGGAUAGAUUGCAUAAAAUAAUGGUGGCUAGCAAAAAUACACAUCUGUUGUACUGUUCUAUUUUGAGCCAUUUGAGGAACAAAGGCCAUGGGGAAAGAGGAAGAAGAAUGAUGUAGGUAGAAAGAAAGAGACUGGAGGGAAAGAAAUAAAAGAGGGACUUGCACACACACACACACACACACACACACACACAUUUAGUAAAAGAAAAAUUUCUACAGAAAAGAAGGCCUACUGGGUAGUCUUUAUGAAAAUUCUGUGAAAGAGUUUAAAGCUAUGUUGGAUGUUUGCAAUCAGUGGUAUAAUUAUCUAUCUAUCUAUCUAUCUAUCUAUUUAUCUAUCAUCUAUCUAUCUAUCUAUCUAACCAUUCAACUAUCCAUCCAUCUGUCCAUCCCAUCUUUCUAUCCAAUGUAUCCACAUAGACUUAACAAGUUUUGAUGUUUGUCUUGUUGAACAAAUGAACUCAAUGCAUCAGUGUUUUAA